GCCUGGGUGGCUCAUUCGGUUAAGCAUCUGACUUUGGCUCAGCUCAUGAUCUCAUGGUCCGUGAGUUCAAGCCCCACGUCGGGCA
rnacentral:tRNA from 1 species